GAUGAAGAACGUAGCGAAAUGCGAUACGUAGUGUGAAUUGCAGAAUUCAGUGAAUCAUCGAAUCUUUGAACGCACAUUGCACCUCUCGGUAUUCCGGGAGGUAUGCCUGUUCGAGCGUCAUUUGUACCCUCAAGCUCUGCUUGGUGUUGGGUGUUUGUUCCGCCUCUGUGUGUGAACUCGCCUCAAAACAAUUGGCAGCCGGCGUACUUGUUUCGGAGCGCAGCACAUUUUGCGAUCCAGAUCAACGUACAGCGGCAUCCAAGAAGCCUUAUUUAACGCUCUUGACCUCGGAUCAGGUAGGGAUACCAGCUGAACUUAAGCAUAUCAAUAAGCGGAGGA
rnacentral:misc_RNA from 1 species